rnacentral:rRNA from 1 species
UAAUACAUGCAGUACGAGGCGCAUUCUUCCGGAUAGAGCGGCGGACCGGGUGAGGUAUGCGGGGAUAUUGCCUUUCUCUAGGGAAUAGCCUCCGGGAACCUGAGAGUUAAUACCUUAUACGGCCCUUCCGGGGGAAAAGAUUUAUCGGAGAAAGGAUUUAGCCCGCCGUUAGAUUAGGUAGUUGGUGGGGUAAAUGGCCCUACCAAGGCCUACGAUCUAUUAGCUGGUUUGAGAGGAUGAUCAGGCCACACUGGGACUGAGACACGGCCCAGACUCCUACGGGAGGGCAGCAGUAGGGAAUCUUAGACAAUGGGGGAAACCCUGAUCUAGCCAUGCCGCGUGUGUGAUGAAGGCCUUAGGGUCGUAAAGCACUUUCGCCAGAGAUGAUAAUGACAGUAUCUGGUAAAGAAACCCCGGCUAACUCCGUGCCAGCAGCCGCGGUAAUACGGAGGGGGUUAGCGUUGUUCGGAAUUACUGGGCGUAAAGCGCACGUAGGCGGAUUAGUAAGUUAAGGGUGAAAUCCCAGGGCUCAACCCUGGAACUGCCUUUAAUACUGCUAGUCUUGAGUUCGAGAGAGGUAAGUGGAAUUCCAAGUGUAGAGGUGAAAUUCGUAGAUAUUUGGAGGAACACCAGUGGCGAAGGCGGCUUACUGGCUCGAAACUGACGCUGAGGUGCGAAAGUGUGGGGAGCAAACAGGAUUAGAUACCCUGGUAGUCCACACCGUAAACGAUGAAUGCCAGACGUCAGCAAGUAUACUUGUUGGUGUCACACCUAACGGAUUAAGCAUUCCGCCUGGGGAGUACGGUCGCAAGAUUAAAACUCAAAGGAAUUGACGGGGGCCCGCACAAGCGGUGGAGCAUGUGGUUUAAUUCGAAAGCAACGCGCAGAACCUUAACCAACCCUUGACAUCCUGUGCUACUACCAGAGAUGGUACGUUCCCUUCGGGGACGCAGUGACAGGUGCUGCAUGGCUGUCGUCAGCUCGUGUCGUGAGAUGUUCGGUUAAGUCCGGCAACGAGCGCAACCCACAUCUUUAGUUGCCAGCAGGUUAAGCUGGGCACUCUAGAGAAACUGCCCGUGAUAAGCGGGAGGAAGGUGUGGAUGACGUCAAGUCCUCAUGGGCCUUACGGGUUGGGCUACACACGUGCUACAAUGGCAGUGACAAUGGGUUAAUCCCAAAAAACUGUCUCAGUUCGGAUUGGGGUCUGCAACUCGACCCCAUGAAGUCGGAAUCGCUAGUAAUCGCGUAACAGCAUGACGCGGUGAAUACGUUCCCGGGCCUUGUACACACCGCCCGUCACACCAUGGGAGUUGGUUCUACCCGACGACGCUGCGCUAACCCUUCGGGGAGGCAGGCGGCCACGGUAGGAUCAGCGACUGGGGUG